rnacentral:rRNA from 1 species
GACAGAGGGUGCAACGUUGUUCGGAAUUACUGGGCGUAAAGCGCGUGUAGGCGGCCCGGAAAGUCGGAUGUGAAAGCCCUGGGCUUAACCUAGGAAGUGCAUUCGAAACUCUCGGGCUUGAGUUCUGGAGAGGAAGGCGGAAUUCUCGGUGUAGAGGUGAAAUUCGUAGAUAUCGAGAGGAACACCGGUGGCGAAGGCGGCCUUCUGGACAGUGACGUGACGCUGAGA